rnacentral:rRNA from 1 species
UACGUAGGGUGCGAGCGUUGUCCGGAAUUACUGGGCGUAAAGAGCUCGUAGGUGGUUUGUCGCGUUGUUCGUGAAAACUCACAGCUCAACUGUGGGCGUGCGGGCGAUACGGGCAGACUGGAGUACUGCAGGGGAGACUGGAAUUCCUGGUGUAGCGGUGGAAUGCGCAGAUAUCAGGAAGAACACCGAUGGCGAAGGCAGUUCUCUGGGCCGUAACUGACGCUGAGGAGCGAAAGCGUGGGGAGCGAACAGG